rnacentral:rRNA from 1 species
GAUGAACGCUGGCGGCGUGCCUAAUACAUGCAAGUCGAGCGAACAGACGAGGAGCUUGCUCCUCUGACGUUAGCGGCGGACGGGUGAGUAACACGUGGAUAACCUACCUAUAAGACUGGGAUAACUUCGGGAAACCGGAGCUAAUACCGGAUAAUAUAUUGAACCGCAUGGUUCAAUAGUGAAAGACGGUUUUGCUGUCACUUAUAGAUGGAUCCGCGCCGCACUAGCUAGUUGGUAAGGUAACGGCUUACCAAGGAAACGAUGCGUAGCCGACCUGAGAGGGUGAUCGGCCACACUGGAGCUGAGCCGCGCUCCAUACUCCUGCGGGAGGCAGCAGUAGGGAAUCUUCCGCAAUGGGCGAAAGCCUGGCGGAGCGACGCCACGUGAGUGAUGAAGGUCUUCGGAUCGUAAAACUCUGUUAUUAGGGAAGAACAAAUGUGUAAGUAACUAUGCACGUCUUGACGGUACCUAAUCAGAAAGCCACGGCUAACUACGUG